rnacentral:rRNA from 1 species
UACGGAGGAUGCGAGCGUUAUCCGGAUUUAUUGGGUUUAAAGGGUGCGUAGGCGGACGCUUAAGUCAGCGGUAAAAUUGCGGGGCUCAACCUCGUCGAGCCGUUGAAACUGGGUGUCUUGAGUGGGCGAGAAGUACGCGGAAUGCGUGGUGUAGCGGUGAAAUGCAUGGAUAUCACGCAGAACUCCGAUUGCGAAGGCAGCGUACCGGCGCCCAACUGACGCUGAAGCACGAAGGCGUGGGUAUCGAACAGG